CCUACGGGUGGCAGCAGUGAGGAAUAUUGGUCAAUGGACGAGAGUCUGAACCAGCCAAGUAGCGUGAAGGAUGACUGCCCUAUGGGUUGUAAACUUCUUUUAUAUGGGAAUAAAAUGUUCCACGUGUGGGAUUUUGUAUGUACCAUAUGAAUAAGGAUCGGCUAACUCCGUGCCAGCAGCCGCGGUAAUACGGAGGAUCCGAGCGUUAUCCGGAUUUAUUGGGUUUAAAGGGAGCGUAGGUGGAUUGUUAAGUCAGUUGUGAAAGUUUGCGGCUCAACCGUAAAAUUGCAGUUGAAACUGGCAGUCUUGAGUACGGUAGAGGUGGGCGGAAUUCGUGGUGUAGCGGUGAAAUGCUUAGAUAUCACGAAGAACUCCGAUUGCGAAGGCAGUUCACUGGACUGAAACUGACACUGAGGCUCGAAAGUGUGGGUAUCAAACAGGAUUAGAUACCCUGGUAGUC
rnacentral:rRNA from 1 species